rnacentral:rRNA from 1 species
CAGGCCUAACACAUGCAAGUCGAACGGUGGCAGCAAUGCCAUAGUGGCGCACGGGUGCGUAACACGUAACUAACCUGCCCAGACCUGGGGGAUAGCCCGCCGAGAGGCGGAUUAAUACCGCAUGAGAUAAUAAGGUGGCAUCACCUAGUUAUUAAAGAUUUAUCGGGUUUGGAUGGGGUUGCGGGUCAUUAGCUAGUUGGUAAGGUAAUGGCUUACCAAGGCGACGAUGACUAGGGGAGCUGAGAGGCUGGUCCCCCACACGGGCACUGAGAUACGGGCCCGACUCCUACGGGAGGCAGCAGUAGGGAAUAUUGGGCAAUGGGCGAGAGCCUGACCCAGCCAUGCCGCGUGCAGGAAGAAGGCUUUCUGAGUCGUAAACUGCUUUUGAUAGGGAAGAAUAACCAGUACGUGUACUGGGAUGACGGUACGUACAGAAUAAGCACCGGCUAACUCCGUGCCAGCAGCCGCGGUAAU